UCUGCUUCUGCUGCUAUUGCUUUUUUCAGUUUCUGUGUGAUUCGGUUUUUGAGUGGGUCUUUUGUUGUUGGUGGUUUUGAAUUGGUAUGGGUUUCUGCGUUUUGGGGGGUUUUGUUUGUCUGCGGGUCUGGGUUGUUGAUUAUUGAUUGGAGAGGUUUCAAGUUAUGAUUUCACUGUAUGUUAUAUCGGUGGGGAUGUUAUUAGAAUCUCUUAGAUUGUUUUUUGUUCUGUAAUUAAAGGCUUAAUAAUAGAAUCUAACAUGUAAAUGCAUAUGCAUGUAAUUCUUUAAAUUCCAAGUUCUAAUAUCCAUAUUGAGUUGAUAAAACCGUUUCUAUUAUCUACAUUAACCCAAAGCAGUCUCUUAACCCAAAACCCAAUCCAAUUUAAGAUAAGAGGUUAUUGAGUCGGCCUCUUGCUUCGUUUUGGUUUGUUUCUUAUUUUCAGUCAGUUUUUUUUUUCUUUUUUCCUAUGUCAUUGUACAUUGUUUUUAACCAGCAAAUUGAUAUAUGUUUGUUGUCUUAGAAGUACGUCUCUUUCUGUUUUGAAAUUGUGAUUGCCCCAAUAUUUUGAUAGCUUGGAGAUUUAUUUGUCUGGUAUGAAUGUGAAACAAGAAUCAUUGACAAAGUUCCAGUGGUGAUCAUGUGCUCAGAGAACAUCCUCAGUUGAAUCGAUAGAAAAGCAGCUUCCAAGAGCCGUACUUGAAAUCAAGAGCCUGGAUGUGUUCUGAUCAUCAUUAACAAGAAAGAAAGAAAGAGGGUGAGGGAGGUGGGGAUUUUGAAGAAGGAUCCCGAGAUCCUGAAGGAGCAGAUUGAUAAGUUGAAUAAGCAAAGAAAGGCAGCAUUAAACCAGCAGCAUCAUCCAUGGAGACCUUCAACAAAGAGAAAACAAACUAAAGUGUGAUGACACUUUUUAUGUACAAAGAACUGGAGGAAGCAACUUUUUGGACAACCUCCACAGCUGUUAACUACCAGGCUAACAACCUUUUGGCAACACAUAUGCUAACAGACAUCAUCAUCUGUUUUUGACAAAUACAUCAAGCAAUAAUUGUAAUUAAGUUAGCCUACAACUGUACCUAUUUUUUGCAAGCUGUUCGAACAGCAAAUGUAAGUAUCUUUUGAACAUUACCAUAAUAUCUACAUUAGUGGUGAUGUUACUAAAACAUGAUCUACAUCUUCUGUUAUAAAACUUACUUCUUAGCUAUAUUCUGCAUCCUUAAAA